rnacentral:lncRNA from 1 species
CCCCAAGAUCGGCGUCUGGACGGCUUGCCUCUGGCGCCUUACAGCAAGGUGCGGCGGCGCCUCCCAGGUUUGCGCCCGUCUUCGCAAAGCUCCUGAGGGCGAAAAUCCUGCGAGCCAGGUGGCGGAUUCUCGGGCCGGGUCACUCAGCUCUACGGGUGCGCAUCACCCUCCACCUGUCACCCAGUGAGCCUGACCGAUGGGCACCGAGUCGGCGGAUCUCUGAUCCGAGGCCGAGCCUUCGGAGAAAUCUGUCCUAGUGGCCUCAUCGUGGCCUGAGCGAACGCAAAGGAACCUGCCCCAAGCCCAGCUCUCAGCCUC